UGGCACAAACACUUCACAGAACAAUUCAAAAUGAAGUUAAUUCUAUUUUUCUUUAUUGUCUCAAUUUCCGCUGUUCUUAGCGAGGAAGUUUUAAAGGGACCUAACGUUAUUUGUAUAAUAACAUCUAUUGUUAAUUUCGUAAAAUGUAUGAAAAAAGGUAACGGGUUCCUUAUAAAUUCGAGCGAAAGUCUGGAAUUAGAUUCGAGUCCGGCUGAAUGUUUAAAAGAGUGGGUAGUAGAAGUGUUGGCUUGUGUGUAAUUCGAUUUACAUGGCGUUCGCAUUAUAUUCUGGAGUUUGAACAUUGAAAAUAAAUAUCUAAUUGAG